rnacentral:rRNA from 1 species
GACGAACGCUGGCGGCGUGCUUAACACAUGCAAGUCGAACGAAGAGCGAUGGAAGCUUGCUUCUAUCAAUCUUAGUGGCGAACGGGUGAGUAACGCGUAAUCAACCUGCCCUUCAGAGGGGGACAACAGUUGGAAACGACUGCUAAUACCGCAUACGAUCUAAUCUCGGCAUCGAGGAUAGAUGAAAGGUGGCCUCUACAUGUAAGCUAUCACUGAAGGAGGGGAUUGCGUCUGAUUAGCUAGUUGGAGGGGUAACGGCCCACCAAGGCGAUGAUCAGUAGCCGGUCUGAGAGGAUGAACGUCCACAUUGGGACUGAGACACGGCCCAGACUCCUACGGGAGGCAGCAGUGGGGAAUCUUCCGCAAUGGACGAAAGUCUGACGGAGCAACGCCGCGUGAGUGAUGACGGCCUUCGGGUUGUAAAGCUCUGUUAAUCGGGACGAAAGGCCUUCUUGCGAAUAGUGAGAAGGAUUGACGGUACCGGAAUAGAAAGCCACGGCUAACUACGUG